rnacentral:rRNA from 1 species
UGGAUCCAGACUUGAUCAUGGCUCAGGAUGAACGCUAGCUACAGGCUUAACACAUGCAAGUCGAGGGGCAGCAUGAACUUAGCUUGCUAAGUUUGAUGGCGACCGGCGCACGGGUGAGUAACACGUAUCCAACCUGCCGAUGACUCGGGGAUAGCCUUUCGAAAGAAAGAUUAAUACCCGAUGGCAUAGUUCUUCCGCAUGGUAGAACUAUUAAAGAAUUUCGGUCAUCGAUGGGGAUGCGUUCCAUUAGGUUGUUGGCGGGGUAACGGCCCACCAAGCCUUCGAUGGAUAGGGGUUCUGAGAGGAAGGUCCCCCACAUUGGAACUGAGACACGGUCCAAACUCCUACGGGAGGCAGCAGUGAGGAAUAUUGGUCAAUGGACGAGAGUCUGAACCAGCCAAGUAGCGUGAAGGAUGACUGCCCUAUGGGUUGUAAACUUCUUUUAUACGGGAAUAAAGUGAGGCACGUGUGCCUUUUUGUAUGUACCGUAUGAAUAAGGAUUGGCUAACUCCGUGCCAGCAGCCGCGGUAAUACGGAGGAUCCGAGCGUUAUCCGGAUUUAUUGGGUUUAAAGGGAGCGUAGGCGGACGCUUAAGUCAGUUGUGAAAGUUUGCGGCUCAACCGUAAAAUUGCAGUUGAUACUGGGUGUCUUGAGUACAGUAGAGGCAGGCGGAAUUCGUGGUGUAGCGGUGAAAUGCUUAGAUAUCACGAAGAACUCCGAUUGCGAAGGCAGCCUGCUGGACUGUAACUGACGCUGAUGCUCGAAAGUGUGGGUAUCAAACAGGAUUAGAUACCCUGGUAGUCCACACAGUAAACGAUGAAUACUCGCUGUUUGCGAUAUACAGUAAGCGGCCAAGCGAAAGCGUUAAGUAUUCCACCUGGGGAGUACGCCGGCAACGGUGCAACUCAAAGGAAUUGA